GACGAACGCUGGCGGCGUGCUUAACACAUGCAAGUCGAACGGUGAAGCUCCAGCUUGCUGGAGUGGAUCAGUGGCGAACGGGUGAGUAACACGUGAGCAACCUGCCCCUGACUCUGGAAUAAGCGCUGGAAACGGCGUCUAAUACUGGAUACGAGAAGGGUCCGCAUGGGCACUUUCUGGAAAGUUUUUCGGUUGGGGAUGGGCUCGCGGCCUAUCAGCUUGUUGGUGAGGUAAUGGCUCACCAAGGCGACGACGGGAAGCCGGCCUGAGAGGGCGACCGGCCACACUGGGACUGAGACACGGCCCAGACUCCUACGGGAGGCAGCAGUGGGGAAUAUUGCACAAUGGGCGGAAGCCUGAUGCAGCGACGCCGCGUGAGGGAUGACGGCCUUCGGGUUGUAAACCUCUUUCAGCAGGGAAGAAGCGAAAGUGACGGUACCUGCAGAAGAAGCACCGGCUAACUACGUG
rnacentral:rRNA from 1 species